GGUAGGGAAACCAAGAAUAAAGACACUAACCAGCUUCUCCAAUUUCACAUGACUAAGAGGAAAGGAGCUAAGAUUUAAACCAGGAGCCUUUGCCAUGUCCCUUCCUUCCAGACUGUGACAUGAGAUCUCCACCUGAAUGUUCAGAGUACAGGCUUUUUCUAGGCAGAGGUGCAUGACAUUUUCACAAGGUCUCUGUGGCCUCUGCCUUUGCUGCAGAGGCUUUCAGGUCCGCUGGAAGAGAGCAUCCAAAUGGAAUUAACAUGUGGAGAAAGGAGGAGCAAAAAGGAAGGCCUUGAGUUUAGCAGAAAGACUGUCUGUGGUGUCUGGGCGCUGCUAUGGGCUGCUGAACGGAAAAUGAGUGCUUCACAAAUAAAACAAGGACGCCAGUGAGAACAGAAUUAUAACCCAGAGACACCUUACACAGAGCUGUUAAAUGAUACUGAGAGGGACAACUUUGACGCACUUGAGGCCUCACCCACGGAAAGGUGAAAGCUUCAUUCAGCUGCCCAGCUUCACAGGGUCACUUGUUGAGCUGCAGGGGAUGAGACCUUAUUGGGUUUGGCUGCUGUGAGCUCUUCAGCUUUUAAUUAUGGUGUUUAGAAGACAAUGGAGACAGCUUAAAAUAAUAAGAAUGCUGCUAAAACGGGCCUGAUUGCUGCAUGGUACAAAGAGGAGCGUUGGCGCUCUGUGUACAGUACACACUUAACCUGUCAGCAAACAGCAGCUUCCAGGUACUGUGCAAAGGGGUGCAUUAGAAAGCGUCACAAGGACGAUGAGCUUUUUAGUUUGGCUUUCAAAAUGAGCUGUUUAAGUUGUAAUACUGGCUUACUAUAAAUUAGAGUUUAUCCUUUGGAAAUCACUUGCAAUUUGCUUCUGUUGGGCCGCAGGUCAUUAUGAGGCUGUUACAGGUUCCCGGAACAUAAUGUGAUUCAGGCCCACAUUCCUGUUGCCAUAUUCGAUUCAGCUGGAAAUGAGAAUUACAGCGAGAGCCCUGCCUGGUCUUUGACCCUUUGCACGAGCUUUUUAAAAGCAGGGUUUAUGCACAACACUAACCUCUUUCUUAGACAUUCAGUAACGCCUAAUAGCAGCUGGGGUGAAACGCUGAAGCAAAUUGCAAACUGUUGAGAAAUAUCUCACACCAAAUUUAAGAACAGUGGGCACUUACCUUCCAGUUCCCUUCCUUAACAGGCAGAAAAAUUUGCUUGUGAAAGGGGGUGAUAUUCAAAUGUUAAAAAGGAUUUUUCUUUGUUCCCUGCCACAAUAUAAUCAGGCAACACAAAAGACAGUUGUUUUAAAAUUUCUGGGCUGUAACUGAUUGAGGACAGAUGAUGAUAUUUGGAAAAUAAUAUCCACACGUCGAGUACAUUUAAUAUGCCAACUUCAACAUCAACCUUCUUGCUAAUUCUUUACAAAAGUCCUGCUACUAAGACCCCCAUUGUACAAAUGAGUGGAGCUUAGGAAGCUGCCUCAGAUAACUGGCAGAGGGGGAUCCUGCUCCUGAGUGCAUGCUUUGUACCCUUCCCUCAGGAUGGGAGGUGAUCUGAAAGGAGCAUACCUGGACUCCAGGGAGUAGACUUGGCAUAUUAAAGACACUUGUAAGGCAAAUCUAUGUCAUAUGAGCUUUGGGAAAAACAAAAAUAAAUGACUAAUUCAUCAAGCAAA